rnacentral:rRNA from 1 species
UACGUAGGAUGCGAGCGUUAUCCGGAUUUAUUGGGUUUAAAGGGUGCGUAGGCGGCUUUUUAAGUCAGCGGUGAAAUUUUGCAGCUUAACUGUAACAGUGCCGUUGAUACUGGGGAGCUAGGAUUUGGUUGCUGUGGGUGGAAUGUGUGGUGUAGCGGUGAAAUGCUUAGAGAUCACACAGAAUAUCGAUUGCGAAGGCAGCUCACAAAGCCAAGAUUGACGCUGAGGCACGAAAGUGUGGGGAUCAAACAGGAUUAGA